GAUGAACGCUGGCGGCGUGCCUAAUACAUGCAAGUCGAGCGAACAGACGAGGAGCUUGCUCCUUUGACGUUAGCGGCGGACGGGUGAGUAACACGUGGGUAACCUACCUAUAAGACUGGGAUAACUUCGGGAAACCGGAGCUAAUACCGGAUAAUAUUUCGAACCGCAUGGUUCGAUAGUGAAAGAUGGCUUUGCUAUCACUUAUAGAUGGACCUGCGCCGUAUUAGCUAGUUGGUAAGGUAACGGCUUACCAAGGCAACGAUACGUAGCCGACCUGAGAGGGGGAUCGGCAACACUGGAACUGAGACACGGUCCAGACUCCUACGGGAGGCAGCAGUAGGGAAUCUUCCGCAAUGGGCGAAAGCCUGACGGAGCAACGCCGCGUGAGUGAUGAAGGUCUUCGGAUCGUAAAACUCUGUUAUUAGGGAAGAACAAACGUGUAAGUAACUGUGCACGUCUUGACGGUACCUAAUCAGAAAGCCACGGCUAACUACGUG
rnacentral:rRNA from 1 species